UACGAGGGGUGCAAGCGUUGCUCGGAAUCAUUGGGCGUAAAGGGUAGGUAGGUGGUCUCAUUUGUCAGGGGUGAAAGCCUUGGGCUUAACCCGAGAAGUGCCCCUGAAACCGGUGAGACUGGAGUCCUGGAGAGGGUCGUGGAAUUCCCGGUGGUAGCGGUGAAAUGCGUAGAGAUCGGGAGGAACACCAGAGGCGAAGGCGGCGACCGUGGACGAGGUACUGACAGCUCAACUACGAAAGCGUGGGGAAGCAAACAGGG
rnacentral:rRNA from 1 species